UCAGAUACUUUGGGGUUAUAUGGUCAAGUGAAUAAGUGCAUACGACGGAUGCCUUGGCAUUAGAAGGCGAUGAAGGACGUGAUAAUCUGCGAUAAGCUUCGGUUAGCUGAUAAAUUAGCUUUAACCCGGAGAUCUCCGAAUGGGAAAACCCAAUGGUCAUCAGACCAUUAUCUUUGACUGAAUACAUAGGUCACUGAAGCUAACCUAGGGAACUGAAACAUCUAAGUACCUAGAGGAAAAGAAAUCAACCGAGAUUCCCUUAGUAGCGGCGAGCGAACGGGGACCAGCCCUUAAGUCUAUUUUAAAUUACUAGAAUGUUCUGGAAAGUUCAACGAUACAGGGUGAUAGUCCCGUAUAGGAAAAUUUAAUUUAGAUGAAAUCGAGUAAGGCGGCGCACGUGAAACGCUGUUUGAAUAUGGGG
rnacentral:rRNA from 1 species